UACAGAGGCCCCAAGCGUUGUUCGGAUUCACUGGGCGUAAAGGGUGCGUAGGUGGCGAGGUAAGUUUGAUGUGAAAUCUCCGGGCUUAACUCGGAAAGGUCAACUGAUACUGUGCGGCUAGAGUGCGGAAGGGGCAACUGGAAUUCUCGGUGUAGCGGUGAAAUGCGUAGAUAUCGAGAGGAACACCUGCGGCGAAGGCGGGUUGCUGGGCCGACACUGACGCUGAUGCGCGAAAGCCAGGGGAGCGAACGGG
rnacentral:rRNA from 1 species